GACAGAGGUCCCGAGCGUUAGGCGGAAUCACUGGGCUUAAAGCGUGUGUAGGCGGAUUUGUAAGUACCUUGUGAAAUCCCACAGCUCAACUGUGGAACUGCUUGGUAUACUGCUUAUCUUGGGCCAUCUAGGGGCUAGCGGAACAAACGGUGGAGCGGUGAAAUGCGUAGAUAUCGUUUGGAACGCCAAUGGUGAAAACAGCUAGCUGGGGAUGUGCCGACGCUGAGACACGAAAGCCAGGGGAGCGAACGGG
rnacentral:rRNA from 1 species